rnacentral:lncRNA from 1 species
GAGUCUACUCCGGUGAGUAUGACUAUGGAUGUUUUACUUUCUUUGCUCAUACUUAGACUAAAACCUAGUGAUGGCCUUCGUGCUGGAUUUGUUGAUGUGUUAGCCUUCGUGCUGGAUUUGUUGAUGUGUCGGCCAUCGUGCCAGAAAUGUGGUAGUCGGCCUUCGUGUCGACGUUUCUCUUGCAGGUUUUGGAAACCUCCCCGUGCAGGGGAGGUGCUGCCGAAAUUUCCAAUUUUUCUUUACACUCUUUACAUUUUUAUUUGUCACUCACAUCCAAUGCCCUCUCUUUUGUAGCAUGCAUCGGGGGCGGCGUCCAACCAUGUCGGAGGGUCGCCAGGAUCGCACGGCGUGCUAUGCACACCUAGACCGUCGCCGGGAUCGCAAGCUGGGGCGUCCCAACCCUCGCCAGGAUCGCACACUGGACAGUCGCCGUGAGCUGCCUUGGGAGUUGUUUUUAUGUAUUAAACUUGUGAACUUGGAAUAAUAUGUACUCUUGAACGUGUGGUUUGUAAUAUAUUUUGAAUUUUGUAUAAAUUUGGUCAUUUGUGAUAUAUAUAUAAAUGUGGUUUGUGAUAUAUUGCUGUUGAUUUUUGGAUUGUGA